AAGAAGCAAACGGGGGCACCAGUCUUGGCUUUUAGGAAGCUCUGUUUAACUUACACAUAAGUUCUUAAGAUGUGUUGGCAGUAUUGCGUCACCCACGGCCGUCCCGGGGGCUGAACGUGUGGCGUUUGGUUACUGAAGCCUGCUCAGGCGAAGCUGGGUCUUGUGCAUGUUCCCACUGUUUCAUCCUGUCCUCGCCAGGGAUCUGGGUGGGACAGUCACACCCACGGCCUGCUACCCACCAGGUUGUACUUAACGCAAUCAGAAGGGGUUCAUGGCAAUAUAACAGUUAAUGAACUUGGAGUUUAAAUUGUGUACAUUUUUAAAUUGUAAGAUUUUUACUGUAUAUUGAAGCUUAGUGUGAUUCAAUAAAUUGCUUGUAAUUUAAAAACUAUUUAAUAUUCAAAAUAAAUAUAGUUAUAUAUUU
rnacentral:lncRNA from 1 species